UACGUAGGGUGCAAGCGUUAAUCGGAAUUACUGGACGUAAAGCGUGCGCAGGCGGUUUUGUAAGACAGAGGUGAAAUCCCCGGGCUCAACCUGGGAACUGCCUUUGUGACUGCAAGGCUUGAGUGCGGCAGAGGGGGAUGGAAUUCCGCGUGUAGCAGUGAAAUGCGUAGAUAUGCGGAGGAACACCGAUGGCGAAGGCAAUCCCCUGGGCCUGCACUGACGCUCAUGCACGAAAGCGUGGGGAGCAAACAGG
rnacentral:rRNA from 1 species